GAUGAACGCUGGCGGCGUGCCUAAUACAUGCAAGUCGAGCGAACAGACGAGGAGCUUGCUCCUCUGACGUUAGCGGCGGACGGGUGAGUAACACGUGGAUAACCUACCUAUAAGACUGGGAUAACUUCGGGAAACCGGAGCUAAUACCGGAUAAUAUAUUGAACCGCAUGGUUCAAUAGUGAAAGACGGUUUUGCUGUCACUUAUAGAUGGAUCCGCGCCGCAUUAGCUAGUUGGUAAGGUAACGGCUUACCAAGGCGACGAUGCGUAGCCGACCUGAGAGGGUGAUCGGCCACACUGGAACUGAGACACGGUCCAGACUCCUACGGGAGGCAGCGGUAGGGAAUCUUCCGCAAUGGGCGAAAGCCUGACGGAGCAACGCCGCGUGAGUGAUGAAGGUCUUCGGAUCUUAAAACUCUGUUAUUAGGGAAGAACAAAUGUGUAAGUAACUAUGCACGUCUUGACGGUACCUAAUCAGAAAGCCACGGCUAACUACGUG
rnacentral:rRNA from 1 species